AUUUUCCCGUUUUCCUACGUUUUUCUUGGUUUUUUCCACGGACAAACUCCUUAGAAAGUUUAAAAAAUGACCUAAAGUACUACUCCAAGAAAUUUUGUAAAUGUAUUGUAAAACCAAUGCAUUCCUCGAUUCACCCAGAAUCUAAAAUUGAAAAUAAUGAAAUUGUUAACAGCAAUGUGGUGUACGUUUUUCAAAGAUAUCUUUUUCCGGUUUUCACUUGAUUUUAGAAGAACCAUUUCUUAAAUUAAAAAACAACCGGACACGCUCCACACGAUGGGUGUGCCACUGUUGUAGGUGAGAAGUUGGGAAGNCAAUCCAGCCCUGGUUGCGAAUUUAUUGAAAGUACACAGAAUAAUAAAACACAACAUAAGGGAAAUAUUACAGAAUUUUGAGACAUCGUUAAAUUAUUAGCUUCUUAAAAAUUAAUAGUCUAUAAUCACUGUCUGUUUGCCACUUCGAAACUUAAUGAAUACGGUUGAGUUGAACAGUCGUCUGUCACCACUUUGUAUUACCGUUUAUUAUAAUCCUGUUUAAACAGAUUUUAACUAUUAUAUAAUACUAAAAAAACCAUCAAUUAAUCGUUAUAAAUAAUGGUUUUGUUGAAGGUUUACAUAGAGAAGUAAGUAUUUAAUAUUUUACGAAACGUUGACAUUUUUUAUCACAUGAAC